GACGAACCGUCCAAACGUUAUUGGGAAUCACUGGGCUUAGCGGGUGCGUAGGCGGUGCGGAAAGUUGGGUGUGAAAUCCCUCGGCUCAACCGAGGAACUGCGCCCAAAACUACCGUGCUCGAGGGAGAUAGAGGUGAGCGGAACUUAGGGUGGAGCGGUGAAAUGCGUUGAUAUCCUAAGGAACACCAGUGGCGAAAGCGGCUCACUGGAUCUCUUCUGACGCUGAGGCACGAAAGCUAGGGUAGCGAACGGG
rnacentral:misc_RNA from 1 species